rnacentral:rRNA from 1 species
UACGUAGGGACCAAGCGUUGUUCGGAUUUACUGGGCGUAAAGGGCGCGUAGGCGGCAAUUCAAGUCAUCUGUGAAAUCUCCGGGCUUAACUCGGAACGGUCAGAUGAUACUGCUUUGCUAGAGUGCGGAAGGGGCAAUCGGAAUUCUUGGUGUAGCGGUGAAAUGCGUAGAUAUCAAGAGGAACACCUGAGGUGAAGACGGGUUGCUGGGCCGACACUGACGCUGAUAGCGCGAAAGCCAGGGGAGCAAACGGG